CAUGAAGAAAACAAAAAAUAUUUGGCAGUUUUCGGAACGAAGCACAUUAUAGCUUAAGUAUUAAGCUGCUAGGAACGACGACAAGCUGGGCUCAACGAAACAAAAAACGAUGUGACCGAUUAGUAAACCAACAACAGAGCCUUCUUCAAUCUAAUAAUUUAAAGGCCUAAUGAAAACUGGUAUGCAAAGUUCUGCAUUUCAACAAUUCGACUGAUCGAUAAACUACUCACCGCGGCCCGAUAGAUAAGCGGAACCGAAGCGUCAUCACCCACGACAAUCUUUGCGGGAUUGGCCACCAACCCCCAGCACAAAACUGCAACAGGACAGUGCGGAGGAGCGGUCAGGCAUAGGAAAUGUGUGCGCGAUAUCGUACUAAUUGGUUGAACAAUUAUACCAUUAUUAGUUGUUCGUUGGUUCAGUUCAGUUACCCGUGAAGUCGGUGAGUAACGGAUUCGCCGCUUAUCCUGCC